CGCUGCUGACGAGAACACUGUGUUCCAAUAGACACCCUGACCUGUAACCCGUUCCGUGCCGAGCCAGGCCGGGAACAGCCUGUACCGCAGCAGGCUGUCCUCUCUCUGCUCAGCUGACAACACAUAUCAUCAACACUCACUCACUGCUGUGUGAGAGCCGAGCCCUGUAGACACACAGACACACAGACAGACGCACAACACGCUGCCCGAUAAGACGCGCGGUGAGACGGAUUACUGUUUCUCUAAGAGACGGUAAAAAACCCCGCCUUUUUAUUUUUAUUUACUGGGGGAUUUUUUUUUUUACGCAAUAUAAACGUUUUCUCAUUACUUAUUUGAAAGGUAUCCGUGUUACGUACAUGGGAGUAAUCUCCUGAGUGAUCCCUUUUAUCCCUGAACUUUUUCCCCCUGAAGCAAGAGUCCUUUACUGCUGUGUCUGCCAAGGACCCUGGAUAAAUGAUUCCUCCUCGCCGCCGCUGAUGAAGAGAAACACAGUGGAACAGUGACUAACAGGACAGAUCUAUUUUAAUUUCAAUUUAACUGACUAUAUGUAAUUCUUGACAAGAUGUGGUGCUCAUUUUAUGUCCUUAGAUAAUCAAUUUACUACAAACAUAAAGUUGUCAAUGGUGACAGUAAGUAUAAUAUAAUAUAAGUCAAUAUAUUACUUAAGUUAAAGUCGCAAUACAAACAUGUAAAAAUACUGCAAUGCAAGUAAAAGUCACAUAUUUAAAAUCCCAAAGGAAAAGUAUUAAAGUAUUAAGCACUCAAAGUAUUAUAAAAUGUUUUUAAAGUAAAGUAAAAGUAUUUAUUAUGCGAGCAGAAUAGCUCCCAUCAGUUUUACAGUACAUCAUUAUGAUCGUAUUGGAUUAAGAAGCAUUUUAAUGUUGUAAAGGUUUGACCUGUAUUCAUUUAUAAAUAUAAUUUAGAUCUAAUUUUUCCCCUCACUAUUGUGUGAGUUUGGUUAUUUAGUAGCCUCUGAACCAGAUUACUCCCAUGCAUGAUGGGAACACAGUAAGAUUAAAAAUUAAGACUUCCAGAUAUUUGGGUCUUUUUGUUUUGUCAUUUUUUCAGUUUAAACUCUGGUCCUAAAUAAACAUUAUUAUUAUUAAGAAACUUAACCCUAAUGGUCUGUUUGGAGAUCCCCUUUAACAACUCAGAAAACAUUCUUACCAAUGUUUCAUCAGCUCAUGACUGUUACUAAUUUUAUCAGAACAGCUUCUACUGAACUGAUGACAUAUUUCAAAAGUAAUGCAAUACAAAAAAAGAAUCCUAAAUGAUCAGUAAAUUGAAUCUUUCUUUUUCUUAUUCUUAUUAUAAUCUUCAUGAAGGUAGGAUUUAUUGCGUGAUUAUUGUUUUAGCUAGGUGUACUGUACCUAAUAAAUGGGCAACUGAGUGUCAUGUUGACCCUAUAUGACACAUAGGCGCUCAAGCAUGACAUGUUUCCUUAUUUGGUGUGAUAACAAUACUCUAUGUUCCUUUCCGCAUUUUGUCACCUUCAUCCGAUGUGUAAACACAGUUCACACAAAGGACGUGGUCACCACUUCAAUAAUUUUCUACAUACUGCAGAUUAAUGAAAUAUCUGAGGAAAGAAAAUUGAUUUUGAAAUUGUUAUUAUUAUUAUUAUUAUUAUUUUUACACAUGCAGCAUGUAGUGGGGUUUGUGAAACCCCAACCAAUGAGGAAGUGAAGCCAAUGUCACCAAACCACAACUGGUAACUCGAAAGUGAAAGAAUUAUUUCACCAAGCCUGCAUGCGCUAAUGAGUGUUAUUAUUCUUCGUUAAAAUAUCUGGCAUCACUUAUAGAGAAGUAGCACACAGCAAUUCCAUAUCAAUCUGUCAUGCCAGACAAUUAUUAAUCCAAGCUUGUGAAUGUGUGUCAGUGUGAGUGACGGCUUGAUAACUAAUUUGACUGCUCACAAUGGUAGUUAGAGGCCUAGCCAAACAUAUUAGAGAGUGACACUGUAAAAUUACUACAAACAAGGAACGCCUUGGUAGACGAGUGGUUACAAGAUGCCAUAUAACCGCAGCGUCCCGGGUUGGAGUCUGGCCUUCGUUGGGACCUUUGUUGAAUAUCAUAAGCCUCUCUCUCUUCCACAUUUCUACACUGUCCUCUGUCAAAUAAAGACAAUAAUGUCCAAAAAAUAAAAACUAAUACUACAAAUAAGACAUAUGUUUGGUAUACAAAAGAGAAUCCUUCAAAAACAAAGUCAACCAUUACUGACUCCAACAUGUGUUUGAUUACAGACUAUAUUUAGGGCUAGUGCUGCACAUGUAUGCAGAUUUCCACUUCCAGUAUGGAAUAGAGAAAGAUUAGAUAAGCAUAUUCUGCGAAGUGAGGAGUGAGAGGUUCAGGGUCAGAGAGUUACUGUACAAAGACAUUUGUUAUUCACACCUUCCCCUACUACUUCUUCAAUGUGUCUCUAUACAGGAAAUGUACAUAGAGUAAGCAAUCUAAACCACCCACCCAAAAAACGUACAUGGGGUUGUUUGUGGUGUUCUCUCCUGUUGUGCAAUAACCGUUCUGCUCUGUUGAUUUACUUCUGUUCCCUGCACGGUUAUCUCUAAAUAGCAGGUGGUAACUGUUAAAUGCAUGAAUAAAGUUUGUGUUUCUUGUCAACACGAAACAUAACAGCUACAUGAUGUACUGUCUGCUUCCGUACCAGCAAUGCAACAUGACAUAAAUAUGGCAGUGCAUUUUCUCAGACUUCACUAUGGAUUGUUUCUUGUACACAAUGAUAGUGAUUGGAUAUUUGCAGUCAAAUCUCAACAAUUAAAACCUCUUGAAAAUUAGUAAUUUUCUUAUUAUCAGUGGUGGAAGAAGCACUCAAUAAUUAUACAAUAAAAGUACCAAUAUAAAAAUGUAAAAAGUCCUGCAUUUAAAGUAAAUAUAGACACAUUAUAAGCUAAAUUUACAGUAAAGUAAUUAAUAGUAGUACUUGUAAAAGUAACACUUGUUCAAACCGGGCCUUUUUAGUACUGAGGGUGGAACGAGUUUUAAAUAAUUUAUACAGUUAGGUAGUUUAAUCGAGUGGUAACUAAACUAGGGGUCGGUCCCCUCACAAAGAUGAUUAAUGGGGUAGAAAAGAAGAAAUAUCACAGUUCUGCAACAUAAUUUUGUUUUUAUUUUUCAGAUUUUCUCGAGUUUUUAUCUUUUCUGUGAAAUAUUGGAGAGUUUUACCUCUUUGGUCCUUUAACAGUUAUUUCGUUGAAACAAUGUGAGACAUUUAAAUGGAGAAUCUCAUUUUAUAGACAUCUGAAACAUGACAAGAGGCCCCAACUAGACACAGCUUUUUUUGUGAUGGGUCACAUGUCACAUGGUUUAAUCUUAAACAUAAUUCAUUGUAUUUUUUGAACUGAUAAUGUUUUUCUACGUUAAAUUUUUAAUCUGUACUUAAAGCUGUCAAGUAAAUGUAGUGGAGUAGAAAGUACAAGAACACUCUGAAUUAUAGUGGAGCUUAAGUCAUCAAUGAGAGGACAAAAUAGAAAAUAGUCAGGAUGGCACAAGUAAACAAAAUGUCUGUCUCUAUACGCCUUAUAACACAUUGUAAUAUUGCCUACUUAUACUAAUGUAAAGUGUGUUACAAGUGUUAUUUUACUCUGAUUGUUUAUCAUUUAUGCUUUUAUCCAGUGUUGUGGAGGUUAUGCACAGGUAUACAGAGAAUGCCCACCUUUAUUUCUGGCAGUUUACAGUAUAACUUCUAUCAGCCAAAAAGCCAUUGGAAUAUAUAGGAGGGUAUACCCACUUCCACCUCGGUAACCUAUACUACCCAUCUACCUAUUAGUACACCCACCUCAUCAACGACCGCUACACCACUGCUUUUAUCUCUUCUGUUUUGUGAUUUACGUGCUGCUGGACACUGCAAUUUCCCAUCAGGUUUAUUAAGUAGCCUACUCUAUCUGUGUACCUAUUCAUCUAUCCACAGUGUAGUGGAUGGUUAUGGCCUUGGUAAUGGGAGAAAAUGCGCCUGGAAAGUUAAAGUGGCUCACUGUGAGGAGGACAGGAAUGGUGUUGGCUGAAUGAUUAUUACAGCACAUGCAGGAGUGGAGUAAAGGCCUUCUCCACACUGUGUCAAAUAGCCUAGAUUCUCUUUAUUUGUUAGGCUAUAACUUCAACAAUUAUUGUUGUUGUGUGUUGUUGAUUUUUGCAGGAAUAUUGAACUAGUUGUCUCUUAAAUAAAUGCUUUUAAAUGAUUGUUAGUGGAGUUGUUCCAGCUGCUCUUUCAGGGGGUGGUGUAUAGGGGACCCAUUUUGAAGAAUAAAAUAAAGAAAACACGCUUGUUU